AUGGCCCCUGCGUAAGGAUGACGCGCACAAAUCAAGAAAUGAUUAAGAUACCAGCAUACAUUGUAGAUCAGCGUGAUGGAAAAUCGAUGAAGCGGCCCAAACAUAUCUUUUACUAUUUUCUCUUGUGAACAUUUUGCAGGAUCUGAAUGAUGAUGUUAAUCGAGA